UGCGUAGGCGGUUUCGAAAGUCCGAUGUGAAAUCCCCGGGCUUAACCUGGGAACUGCGUUGGAAACUACGAGGCUAGAGUGCGGCAGAGGGGGGUGGAAUUCCAGGUGUAGCAGUGAAAUGCGUAGAUAUCUGGAGGAACACCGAUGGCGAAGGCAGCCCCCUGGGUUAGCACUGACGCUGAUACACGAAAGCGUGGGGAGCAAACAGGAUUAGAUACCCUGGUAGUCCACGCCCUAAACGAUGGCAACUAGUUGUUGGAGGAUGAACUCCUUUAGUAACGCAGCUAACGCGUGAAGUUGCCCGCCUGGGGAGUACGGUCGCAAGAUUAAA
rnacentral:rRNA from 1 species